rnacentral:rRNA from 1 species
UUGAUUUGAUUCUUCGGGAUGAGGAUCUUGGUGACUGAGUGGCGGACGGGUGAUUACCGCGUGGGUAACCUGCCUCAUACAGGGGGAUAACAUUUAUAAAUGACUGCUAAUACCGCAUAAGACCACAGCACCGCAUGGUGCAAGGGUAUAAACUCCGGUGAUAUGACAU